AUGUCAACCCACAGAAAUGGAAAUCUCUCAGUGGUUCCUUUGUGGGAGAGCAUGCUGAAGGGACUUGAGGGUGGCCUGGAGAACCAGGCCCUGCUCUUUGCUGUGUUCCCGGGUCUAUACAUGGUGACCAUCCCGGGAAACCUCACCAUGACCAUGGUCAUCGUCCUGGACACCCACCUGCACUUCCCAGUGAAUCUCUUCCUCAGGAACCUCCCCUUCCUGGACCUUGGCCACGCCUCCAUCACCCCAAUGCCCUGGUUAACUUCUCUUCCUCGUCCAAGGUCGUCACCUUUGCAGGCUGUGCUGCCUGUUUCUUUUUCUCCUUGCUGGCUACCACUGAGACUUUCCUGCUGGCCGUGAUGGCCUAUGACUGCUUCGUGGCCAUCUGUAGUCUGGUGUGGUGCCCAGUGACCACGUGCCUCUCGAUCUGCAUCAUCCUGGGACCAGGCACCUACUGCAGGGUCUGCCUCAGCUCCAUCGUGCAGACCGGCCUCAUGUUCCAGCUCCCUUCUGCAGGGACCAACCACAUUGACCACUCUGUGACAUGCCCCAGCUGCUCCGGCUGGCCUGUGCAUGCCUGGCCCUCAAUGAGCUGACCAAGUUCAGCCUUUGUGGGCUCAUGAUGGGGGCGCCACUCUUGUGGUCCUCGUCUCCUUUGGCUGUGUCACAGUGACCGUCCUGAGGACACCCUCUGCAGCCAGUGACAUAAGGUCUUCACCUGUAGCUCCCACGUGAUGACCGUGUCCCUGUUUGAUGGGACUGUGUUUGUCACAUAUGCCCAGCCAGGGACUAUGGAGUCCAUGGAGCAGGGCAAGGUGGUGUCUGUCUUCUACAGCCUGGUCAUCUCGAUGCUUGGCCCCUUCAUCUACAGCCUGCGAAACAAGGACAUGAAGGAGGCCCUGCGGAGGCUGGGCCAGAGACACGCAGUCAUGGGAAGGAUGGUGGCCUGA
rnacentral:sRNA from 1 species